AUUAAGUUGUCCCUUUCUCGCUACUCAACAAUGGCGAUAAAUAUUAAGUUGUCUAUAUAAUAUCUUCAUCUUCAUAGAAUUUUCUUGUGACGCACCACCAACCAACUAGUUGUCGAAUAUUUUUUUUAAGUCUCGCUUUGAGAUAUAUAGACUCAGAGAAAGAUGCCACCACCGGGUUGGGGACCGCCGCCGGGAGGACCUCCGGGACCAGGCUGUUUCGGAUGCUGUGAUUUUCUCUGCAAUGGGAUAUGCAGGCUUGCAUCUUCUUGUUUGUAUUUCCUUUGCUGCUGUUGCAUCCUAGAGAGUUGCUGUGGGCCAGUGUUUGGCGGUCCACCAGGGCCUCCCGGUCCACCUGGGCCUCCCGGUCCACCUCGAUUCUGAUCAGCCAUCGUUACCUCAGACUCAGAGAUGGUAUAUAUAAGUUGAUAUUGUUAGCAGGUUGUCCUGUUAUUUGUGUGAUAGAAGUGCAUUUCUAUGAGCACUCAUAUCUUGUAUUUCUCUUUCUGCUAUAUAAGAAUUUCCUUCAUUCACUAA